AGAGUUUGAUCAUGGCUCACAGCGAACGCUGGCGGCAGGCCUAACACAUGCAAGUCGAGCGCCCGUAGCAAUACGGGAGCGGCAGACGGGAGAGUAACACGUGGGAACGCGCCCUUCGGUUCGGAAUAACUCAGGGAAACUUGAGCUAAUACCGGAUACGCCCUUACGGGGAAAGAUUUAUUGCCGAAGGAACGGCCCGCGUCCGAUUAGCUUGUUGGUGAGGUAAUGGCUCACCAAGGCGACGAUCGGUAGCUGGUCUGAGAGGAUGACCAGCCUCACUGGGACUGAGACACGGCCCAGACUCCUACGGGAGGCAGCAGUGGGGAAUAUUGGACAAUGGGCGCAAGCCUGAUCCAGCCAUGCCGCGUGGAUGAUGAAGGCCCUAGGGUUGUAAAGUCCUUUUAACGGGGAAGAUAAUGACGGUACCCGUAGAAUAAGCCCCGGCUAACUUCGUGCCAGCAGCCGCGGUAAUACGAAGGGGGCUAGCGUUGCUCGGAAUUACUGGGCGUAAAGCGCACGUAGGCGGCUUUCUAAGUCGGGGGUGAAAUCCUGGAGCUCAACUCC
rnacentral:rRNA from 1 species